rnacentral:misc_RNA from 1 species
GGAAGUAAAACGUAACAAGGUCUCCGUUGGCGAACCAGCGGAGGGAUCAUUACCGAGUUUACAACUCCCAAACCCAAUGUGAACCAUACCAAACUGUUGCCUCGGCGGGGUCACGCCCCGGGUGCGUCGCAGCCCCGGAACCAGGCGCCCGCCGGAGGGACCAACCAAACUCUUUCUGUAGUCCCCUCGCGGACGUUAUUUUUACAGCUCUGAGCAAAAAUUCAAAAUGAAUCAAAACUUUCAACAACGGAUCUCUUGGUUCUG